rnacentral:rRNA from 1 species
GAUGAACGCUGGCGGCGUGCCUAAUACAUGCAAGUCGAGCGAACGGACGAGAAGCUUGCUUCUCUGAUGUUAGCGGCGGACGGGUGAGUAACACGUGGAUAACCUACCUAUAAGACUGGGAUAACUUCGGGAAACCGUAGCUAAUACCGGAUAAUAUUUUGAACCGCAUGGUUCAAAAGUGAAAGACGGUCUUGCUGUCACUUAUAGAUGGAUCCGCGCUGCAUUAGCUAGUUGGUAAGGUAACGGCUUACCAAGGCAACGAUGCAUAGCCGACCUGAGGGGGUGAUCGGCCACACUGGAACUGAGACAGGGUCCAGACUCCUACGGGAGGCAGCAGUAGGGAAUCUUCCGCAAUGGGCGAAAGCCUGACGGAGCAACGCCGCGUGAGUGAUGAAGGUCUUCGGAUCGUAAAACUCUGUUAUUAGGGAAGAACAUAUGUGUAAGUAACUGUGCACAUCUUGACGGUACCUAAUCAGAAAGCCACGGCUAACUACGUG